rnacentral:sRNA from 1 species
CUUUGGCAAUAUGUGUUUCAUACUAUUCAUAAAACCAUUAAUCCAUUUUCAUAAAGUGCAUACUUCAAUAGUUCUUCUUCAAUUCAUUCCCGACAUAUAGUCGCUAAACUAAUACAGCUGUAGAUAGAAGCUAUGACAGAUACGUAUCCCCGCAGCCAAGCCCACCAUCGCACCCCAACUACCCAGCUAGAGUAUACUCUGUUUCCUCCCUUCUAGUCUACCGUUGUAUUUCAAUUGGAAAAUGCCGGAGUUUUCGUUUAAUCAGACCCCUCAGCUUCAGCUGGUGGAACAGCGUAGAAAUAGUAUCGGGCAGGAGCAACAGCAUCCUUGGCGGCGAUAUUGUCUACCGGCUGCUGUAAUAAUAAUUAGUUGAUUGUUCAACAGUAUCAAUAUUCAAGCAGAUAGUACUAAUGUACAUACGGCAACGGGGGUAGCAGAGAUCAUAGAGGCCAUGAUGAGAGCAGCCAAGGUGUAGAAGGUCUUCAUUUUGAGUUUGGUUGGAUUUUAAUUUCAAAAUAUUUUUUUGAGAAAG